GACGAACGCUGGCGGCGUGCCUAAUACAUGCAAGUAGAACGCUGAAGGAGGAGCUUGCUCUUCUGGAUGAGUUGCGAACGGGUGAGUAACGCGUAGGUAACCUGCCUGGUAGCGGGGGAUAACUAUUGGAAACGAUAGCUAAUACCGCAUAACAGUAGAUGUUGCAUGACAUUUGCUUAAAAGGUGCAAUUGCACCACUACCAGAUGGACCUGCGUUGUAUUAGCUAGUUGGUGGGGUAACGGCUCACCAAGGCGACGAUACAUAGCCGACCUGAGAGGGGGAUCGGCCACACUGGGACUGAGACACGGCCCAGACUCCUACGGGAAGCAGCAGUAGGGAAUCUUCGGCAAUGGACGGAAGUCUGACCGAGCAACGCCGCGUGAGGGAAGAAGGUUUUCGGAUCGUAAAGCUCUGUUGUAAGAGAAGAACGAGUGUGAGAGUGGAAAGUUCACACUGUGACGGUAUCUUACCAGAAAGGGACGGCUAACUACGUG
rnacentral:rRNA from 1 species